UGCACUUACGUUUGUUUUUGUUUAACUUGUGGACAAAGUCUUAUGGAUAGGUGCAAAAAACAAAUCCUCUUUUGCAACCCAGAACUCAUUGUUCAGUAUGAGUUUUGAUACAUACAUGUAAGAAGGGAUAUU
ensembl:snoRNA